CACGAGCGCGCAGCCGCCCAGAAGCCCCGCGCACCCGACCGACCGAGCCUCGCCGCGCUCCCUGCCGCGCGUGCCAAGCCGCUGCCAGGCCGGCCUCGCCCAACGUCCGCGCGAGCCCCACGCUCCAAGUCGCGACGACCGCACCAGACACGACGCCCACGCGUGGAGCCGCCAGCCCGACAGCGCGUCCCAACCCGCGACUCGACGUCCGCGUCCGUUCGAUUACUUGUUGCGUUAAGGAUCAUCACUCCGACUGUUUCUUCCUCGCCAUUGCUCUCCCCAUUGAUGCCUUGGGAAGUAACCGAAGCCAUUGAUGGUACUUGAAGCCCCGCCAGCCAUUGACGUCUCUCUGGCAGACUCUUUUUCUCCCUCCUGCUCUCUAUAAAAGGGGACAGCAGAGCUCUCUCUCUUCUCCCUCCUACCCGAACUCGUCUCUCUCUCUAGCUCUCCUCGCUCAUCGCUAGUGCCGCUCGUCGCCAGAGUUGCCGUUCGUCGCCGGAGUUCAGAGCCUGCAGUUCGUCGCCGGAGCCACGCACUCGCCAUCCGCCGUCCGUAGUCGAGCCCUUGCUUCUCUUCACCCGGCCGAACCCCGUCGAACUCUUCCCGUCGCACGUGCGAACCUAAGAGGGUGAUGCUGGAGACUUUGAUGGAGAUUUUGAUGAUGAUGAUGAAUUCUAAGUCUAACGAUGCGGCGGUCAUCUUCCUGUGGGAGAUUGCCCCUGUUAUUUAUUUCCGCUUUACUUUUAUGUGAUACUUGUUCAAGAUACAAUGUUUUAGAUAAUGUAAUAAAGUAUUAUACUCUCUUUACGCCUUUA